rnacentral:rRNA from 1 species
CCUACGGGAGGCAGCAGUGGGGAAUUUUCCGCAAUGGGCGCAAGCCUGACGGAGCAAUACCGCGUGAGGGAGGAGGGCUUUUGGGUUGUAAACCUCUUUUCUCAAGGAAGAAGCAAGUGACGGUACUUGAGGAAGAAGCAUCGGCUAACUCCGUGCCAGCAGCCGCGGU